rnacentral:rRNA from 1 species
UACGAAGGGGGCUAGCGUUGCUCGGAAUCACUGGGCGUAAAGCGCACGUAGGCGGAUUGUUAAGUCAGGGGUGAAAUCCCAGAGCUCAACUCUGGAACUGCCUUUGAUACUGGCGAUCUUGAGUCCGGAAGAGGUGAGUGGAACUCCGAGUGUAGAGGUGAAAUUCGUAGAUAUUCGGAAGAACGCCAGUGGCGAAGGCGGCUCACUGGUCCGGUACUGGACGCUGAGGUGCGAAAGCGUGGGGAGCAAACAGG